AUUGAACGCUGGCGGCAGGCCUAACACAUGCAAGUCGAACGAGUGGCGGACGGGUGAGUAAUGUCUGGGAAACUGCCUGAUGUAGGGGGAUAACUACUGGAAACGGUAGCUAAUACCGCAUACCAUCGGAUGUGCCCAGAUGGGAUUAGCUGGUAGGUGAGGUAACGGCUCACCUAGGCGACGAUCCCUAGCUGGGCUGAGAGGAUGACGAGCAAAACUGGAACUGAUACACGGGCCAGACGACUACGGGAGGCAGCAGUGGGGAAUAUUGAACAAUGGGCGCAAGCCUGAUGCAGCCAUGCCGCGUGUAUGAAGAAGGCCUUCGGGUUGUAAAGUACUUUCAGCGGGGAGGCGUUACCCGAAGAAGAAGCACCGGCUAACUCCGUGCCAGCAGCCGCGGUAAUUC
rnacentral:rRNA from 1 species